AAAAUCCGGGCCUCACAUACUCUGAGACGUGAUACCGAGCCGCUUCAGGCGAAGUCAUUAAUCCUAUGCUGCCUAGAAAAGCCCAGUAGCGAGUUGACAUGGUGCCCGUACCCCAAACCAACACAGGUGGACAGGUAGAGCAUACCAAGGCGAGUGGGAUAACUAUGGUUAAGGAACUCGGCAAAUUUCCUCCGUAACUUCGGGAUAAGGAGGACCCCAGUAGCGUGACGAGACUUGCUCUCCGAGCGUGAAGGGGUGGCACAAAAUUGAGGGAAGCGACUGUUUACCAAAAACACAGCAGCGUGCUAAGCCGUAAGGCGCUGUAUACGCUGUGACUCCUGCCCAGUGCUGGAAGGUUACGGGGAUGGGUUAGUCCUUCGGGACGAAGCUCUGAACCUAAGCCCCAGUAAACGGCGGCCGUAACUAUAACGGUCCUAAGGUAGCGAAAUUCCUUGUCGGGUAAGUUCCGACCUGCACGAAUGGAGUAACGACUUCCCUACUGUCUCAACCAUAGACCCAGCGAAAUUGAAGUACGAGUAAAGAUGCUCGUUAGCUGCAGAAGGACGGAAAGACCCCGUGGACCUUUACUAUAACUUGAUGUUGUGUUUUGUCAUAUGUUGUGUAGGAUAGGUGGGAGACAAGGAAGCAUGGACGCUAGUCUGUGUGGAGUCAUCGUUGAAAUACCACCCUGCAUAUGGUGAGGCUCUAACCUAGACCCGUUAUCCGGGUUGGGGACAGCGUCAGGCGGGUAGUUUAACUGGGGCGGUUGCCUCCUAAAGAGUAACGGAGGCGCCCAAAGGUUCCCUCAGCCUGGUUGGCAAUCAGGCGUCGAGUGCAAUGGCAAAAGGGAGCUUGACUGCGAGACCUACAAGUCGAGCAGGAGCGAAAGCUGGGCAUAGUGAUCCGGCGGUUGCGUGUGGAAGCGCCGUCGCUCAACGGAUAAAAGGUACCCCGGGGAUAACAGGCUAAUCUUGCCCAAGCGUCCAUAGCGACGGCAAGGUUUGGCACCUCGAUGUCGGCUCAUCGCAUCCUGGGGCUGAAGCAGGUCCCAAGGGUUGGGCUGUUCGCCCAUUAAGGCGGUACGCGAGCUGGGUUCAGAACGUCGUGAGACAGUUCGGUCCCUAUCCUCUGUAGCCGUAGGUGAAUUGAGGAAAGCUGUCCCUAGUACGAGAGGACCGGGACGGACGCAGCUCUCGUGUGCCAGUUGUCCUGCCAAGGGCAUGGCUGGUUAGCGACCUGCGGAAAGGAUAACCGCUGAAGGCAUCUAAGCGGGAAGCCUCUUCCGAGAUGAAUUCACCCACAGGGUUAACCUGGUAAGGCCCGUGGUAGACCACCACGUUGAUAGGCCGGAAGUGUAAGCGUGGCAACACGUUCAGCUGACCGGUACUAAUCGGCCGAGGGCUUGAAUU
rnacentral:rRNA from 1 species